rnacentral:rRNA from 1 species
GGAGGAUCCGAGCGUNAUCCGGAUNUAUNGGGUNUAAAGGGAGCGUAGAUGGAUGNNUAAGUCAGUNGUGAAAGNUUGCGGCUCAACCGUAAAAUNGCAGUNGAUACUGGAUGUCUUGAGUGCAGUUGAGGCAGGCGGAAUUCGUGGUGUAGCGGUGAAAUGCUUAGAUAUCACGAAGAACUCCGAUUGCGAAGGCAGCCUGCUAAGCUGCAACUGACAUUGAGGCUCGAAAGUGUGGGUAUCAAACAGGAUUAGAUACCCUGGUAGUCCACACGGUAAACGAUGAAUACUCGCUGUUUGCGAUAUACGGCAAGCGGCCAAGCGAAAGCGUUAAGUAUUCCACCUGGGGAGU